UGCUAUUAUUAUACCUAGUUUAUAGAUGAGGAAAUUGAGGCAAACAUGUUAAGUGACUUGCCCAAGAUCAUGCAGUUAAUAAGGGUUGCUGAGAGUGCAUUGAACUCAGUGCUUCCUGACUCCAGGCCAGCUCUCUAUCUAUUGUGCUACCUAACUGCCUCUCUGCAUGCACACACAUACACACACAUUUAUAUACAUAUAUACACACAUUUUUUACAUGGGCAAUAAUGUUUUGCUUGACUAUGUUUAUUUGCCACAAGGAUUGUAUUUUUCUCUUUUUUUAUUCGGCAAGAUUCUGGAGAGAAGGAAUAAUAGUAAUGUUUGUGGGUUAGUCAUUUUUCAGGAGUGUUCAAUUCUUUUUGACCCCAUUUUGGGUUUUCUUAUCAAAGAUAAUGUAGGGAUUUGCCAUUUCUCAUUUCUUUCUAAAGUUCAUUUUACAGAUGAAGAAACUGAGGCAAACAAAGUUAAAGGAUUUGCCCAGGGUCACCCAACUAGUAAAUGUCUGAGGUCCAGUUUGCUUUCAAGGAAGAAUGAAAGGGAAUAUUAUAAUGGUGAGAAGAGAGCUGCUUUUAGAAUCAGAAGAUCUGAGUUCCAGUCCCCACUCUGGUUCUUGCUACUUGGGUGAUCCUGAACAAGUCUUUUCUCUUCACUGGUCUCAUUUUCUUCUUUUGUAAAAUGAAGGUUAAAAAAAAAAGAUCUAAGCACUUAUGAUAAGUAAUAAUUAUUAUUUGUUAUUAAAUAAAAGCACUAAGCCAUUAUUCUACA
rnacentral:lncRNA from 1 species